AGAUCAGCCCUGGGGUUCAGAGGGAUCCUGACAGCUACUCCUCAAGAUCCUCUCUGUUGUGAUUCAUCCCCCCGGGGCCCUACAGUUUCUCCUUCCUGACUCUUACAUUUCUUUGGAUGGCAUCAUUAUUCAAUUCUCCUGCCUCACCCUCCCAAGUAGCUGGGAUUACAGUACCUGUCUCCUCCCAUAGUUAGGUGCCAAGCACUGUGGAUUCUGCCUCUCAGUGUCCAGACACCCAUUUUCCUUCCCACUGUUCCUUCCCCAUGGAGAAGCCUGUGGCUGGCUGACAGCAGAGAGAGAUGCUCAACUUGGAGAAGGUGUUACCUGGGCCAGGUGGGGAAGGUUUGUUUGCAGAGCAAAGAAGUGAAGCCUAUUCAACGUGAAAAAGAUGAGGAUGAAGACCUUUAUUAUGAUCCACUUCCAAGUAAUGAACACACUGGAGAAAGUCAGACAGUCAAAACAAUGUCCCAGACUCCGUGAAGUUCCUGGGUAGAGAAGGAGACAGACAUAUACCAUACCUAAUAAUUGGAUGUCCGAGAGAAUGAGAGAAUGGCAGAAAGAACUUUAGAGCAUGGGUAUGAUGGCUAGAGCUUGAGCAGCCAUUGUGGACAUCAGAUGAACUUGAAAGUGAAAACUAUGAGCUGAAUACGACAAAGCAAACAGAUAGAAAACUGGAUUCAUUAUGACAUUGCAAAGCUGCCAGACCAGCUCUAGUCUG
rnacentral:lncRNA from 10 species